rnacentral:rRNA from 1 species
AGUGAACGCUGGCGGUAGGCCUAACACAUGCAAGUCGAACGGCAGCACAGUAAGAGCUUGCUCUUACGGGUGGCGAGUGGCGGACGGGUGAGGAAUACAUCGGAAUCUACUUUUUCGUGGGGGAUAACGUAGGGAAACUUACGCUAAUACCGCAUACGACUUACGGGUGAAAGCAGGGGUUCUUCGGACCUUGCGCGAUCGAAUGAGCCGAUGUCGGAUUAGCUAGUUGGCGGGGUAAAGGCCCACCAAGGCGACGAUCCGUAGCUGGUCUGAGUGGAUGAUCGGCCGACCUGGAACUGAGAAACGGUCCAAACUCCUACGGAAGGCAGCGGUGGGGAAUAUUGGACAAUGGGCGCAAGCCUGAUCCAGCCAUACCGCGUGGGUGAAGAAGGCCUUCGGGUUUUAAAGCCCUUUUGUAGGGAAAGAAAAGCAGCAGGUUAAUACGCCGCUGUUCUGACGGUACCCAAAGAAUAAGCACCGGCUAACUUCGUG